CAAUAGCGUAUAUUAAAGUUGUUGCGGUUAAAAAGCUCGUAGUUGGAUUUCUGCUGAGAACGACCGGUCCGCCCUUUGGGUGUGUAUCUGGCUCUUUCUUGGCAUCUUCUUGGUGAACGUUGCUGCACUUGACUGUGUGGAGCGCUACCCAGGACUUUUACUUUGAGGAGAUUAGAGUGUUUCAAGCAGGCAUACGCCUUGAAUACAUUAGCAUGGAAUAAUAAGAUAGGACCUCGGUUCUAUUUUGUUGGUUUCUAGAGCUGAGGUAAUGAUUAAUAGGGAUAGUUGGGGGCAUUCGUAUUUAACUGUCAGAGGUGAAAUUCUUGGAUUUGUUAAAGUCGGACUACUGCGAAAGCAUUUGCCAAGGAUGUUUNCAUUGA
rnacentral:rRNA from 1 species